rnacentral:misc_RNA from 1 species
GAAAUGCGAUAAGUAGUGUGAAUCGCAGAAUUCAGUGAAUCAUCGAAUCUUUGAACGCACAUUGCGCCCUUUGGUAUUCCUUAGGGCAUGCCUGUUCGAGCGUCAUCUAAACCUUCAAGCCCUGCUUGGUGUUGGGUGCCUGUCCCGCCUCCGCGCGCGGACUCACCUCAAAUCCAUUGGCGGCCCCCGCGUCGGCCACGAGCGCAGCAGAAACGCGAACUCGUGAGCCCGUCCGGGCGGCUCCCAGAAGCUACACCCACCCAGUUUGACCUCGGAUCAGGUAGGGAUACCCGCUGAACUUAAGC